CACGCCGUAAACGAUGAGUACUAGGUGUAGGGGGUAUCGACCCCCCCUGUGCCGCAGUAAACACAAUAAGUACUCCGCCUGGGAAGUACGAUCGCAAGAUUAAAACUCAAAGGAAUUGACGGGGACCCGCACAAGCAGUGGAGCAUGAGGUUUAAUUCGACGCUACGCGAAGAACCUUACCAGAACUUGACAUGGCGGAUAAUGCUGCAGAAAUGCAGAGAUAAUACCCGCACACAGGUGG
rnacentral:rRNA from 1 species